rnacentral:lncRNA from 1 species
GGUCACUCAGAAUAUAUAUAUUUCUUUUAUGUAAUCUCAGGAAGUUUAUAGGAGUAAUACAAGAGAUUGAAGACAAGAAGAAGAAUCUCUCUUUCUAGUGCCUCUCUUCUGGAUGCAAUAGAUGCUUCCUACAAGAUGAUGCCUCCAUAAACCUCGUGCCCUCGUAUCUUUCGCUCUUAGAUGAAGCGGUGGCCAAGGGUUUGAAGCACCCUUUUAUAUGCGGCGCCCUAGGGUUUUGAAACCCUAACAAAGUGGUGCGGUGCCCCUUCUUUCCUUACAAAAUAUUUUGGGCCGAGACCUUUGCUCCUAGGAUGUGAGACCCACUCACUAGGAUGC